CCUCGGGCCCUGCGCAGCGAACGCCUCCGAAAGGUGUCAGGUCCUGACGGAAGCAGCACUAAGGAGUGCCGUUCGGGUGCCGCAGUUUGCCUGGGAGGU
rfam:Acidibacillus ferrooxidans strain ITV001 contig0014, whole genome shotgun sequence.